ensembl:snoRNA SNORD42 Small nucleolar RNA SNORD42
CAGCAAAGAAUGGAAAAAAUCACUAUCUGGAAAAAAAUGACAAGCACAAAGGAAGCACUGCUAUGCGA